GAUGAACGCUGGCGGCGUGCCUAAUACAUGCAAGUCGAGCGAACAGAUGAGGAGCUUGCUCCUCUGACGUUAGCGGCGGACGGGUGAGUAACACGUGGAUAACCUACCUAUAAGACUGGGAUAACUUCGGGAAACCGGAGCUAAUACCGGAUAAUAUAUUGAACCGCAUGGUUCAAUAGUGAAAGACGGUUUUGCUGUCACUUAUAGCUGGAUCCGCGCCGCAUUCGCUAGUUGGUAAGGUAACGGCUUACCAAGGCAACGAUGCGUAGCCGACCUGAGAGGGUGAUCGGCCACACGGGAACUGAGACACGGCCCAGACUCCUACGGGGGGAAGCAGUAGGGAAUCUUCCGCGAUGGGCGAAAGCCUGACGGAGCAACGCCGCGUGAGUGAUGAAGUUCUUCGGAUCGUAAAACGCUGUUAGUAGGGAAGAACAAAUGUGUAAGUAACUAGGCACGUCUUGACGGUACCUAAUCAGAAAGCCACGGCUAACUACGUG
rnacentral:rRNA from 1 species